UACAGAGGGCCCAAGCGUUGUUCGGAUUCACUGGGCGUAAAGGGUGCGUAGGCGGUCGGGUAAGUCUGAUGUGAAAUCUCACAGCUUAACUGUGAAACUGCAUUGGAUACUAUCCGGCUAGAGGAAUGGAGGGGAGACUGGAAUACUUGGUGUAGCAGUGAAAUGCGUAGAUAUCAAGUGGAACACCAGUGGCGAAGGCGAGUCUCUGGACAUUUCCUGACGCUGAGGCACGAGAGCCUGGGGAGCAAACGGG
rnacentral:rRNA from 1 species